rnacentral:rRNA from 1 species
CAGCCGCCGCGGGAAUACGGAGGGGGCUAGCGUUGUUCGGAAUUACUGGGCGUAAAGCGCACGUAGGCGGCUUUUUAAGUCAGAGGUGAAAGCCCGGAGCUCAACUCCGGAACUGCCUUUGAGACUGGAAGGCUUGAACGUCGGAGAGGUGAGUGGAAUUCCGAGUGUAGAGGUGAAAUUCGUAGAUAUUCGGAAGAACACCAGUGGCGAAGGCGGCUCACUGGACGACUGUUGACGCUGAGGUGCGAAAGCGUGGGGAGCAAACAGGAUUAGAUACCCGGGUAGUCCCUGUCUCUUAUAC